rnacentral:rRNA from 1 species
AUUGAACGCUGGCGGCAUGCCUUACACAUGCAAGUCGAACGGCAGCACGGGUGCUUGCACCUGGUGGCGAGUGGCGAACGGGUGAGUAAUACAUCGGAACAUGUCCUGUAGUGGGGGAUAGCCCGGCGAAAGCCGGAUUAAUACCGCAUACGAUCUACGGAUGAAAGCGGGGGACCUUCGGGCCUCGCGCUAUAGGGUUGGCCGAUGGCUGAUUAGCUAGUUGGUGGGGUAAAGGCCUACCAAGGCGACGAUCAGUAGCUGGUCGGAGAGGAGGACCAGCCACACUGGAAAGGAGAAAAGGGCAAGACUCCUAAGGGAGGCAGCAGGAGGGAAUUUUGAGCAACGGGUGAAAGACAGACGGAGCAAUGCCGAGUGAGUGAAGAAGGCAGUCGGAGAGUAAAAAAAUUUUGUGAGGGAAGAAAAACAGGAGAAGGAAAAAGGCCUGGAGUGAAGGUACCGAAUAAGAAAGCACGGGAUAACUACGUG